GGGCAAGUGGUGGAAUGGCAUACACGUCAGACUUAAAAUCUGAUGGCCGCAAGGUCGUGAGGGUCCGACUCCCUCCUUGCCCA
rnacentral:tRNA from 1 species